AUGAGGGAGACUGCAGUUGGACAGCCGUCACACGCAGGCGCGGAGGUAGCUGGGAAAAGGCAGCUUCCUCACACCGGCCGCCGAAGUUUGUGUCGCUGCGGAGUGCUGCAGGUUUGUUUGGCACGGAUUGGAUUGGCAAUAACUUUCAGCUUUUUGGGGGAGCUGUUUCUUUUAGUGGUUAGUUUUAUGAUGAUCUGAAGAUAUUUCCUGAAUGUGGACUGUAAUUUUUCAAAAACACAGUGUGGCAAAAGCACUGUACGGCAUUUGUUGAAAAAUGUUUGGGAGAUUGACUCUUCCACAACUGCUUUUUGCUAGCAUCCUUGGAAUUGCUGGAGGGAUGUAUAUUUAUCAACCAAUAUUUGAACAAUACUACAGAGAUCAGAUGGAAUUAAAAGAAAAGUUGAAAUUGGCACAAGAAUCAGAAGAGAAGAAAAGUUAAUACUACAUGGAGUUGAAAUGUAAUUGUUUAAAGUUCUAUUGAAAUUAUACAUUGACUAUAAAUAAUCUAGUAAAAACUUCUCAAGUAUAUUUUAAACACAAAUAAAUAAUAGGUAAUGAUUUUAAAACAAGCA